rnacentral:rRNA from 1 species
GACGAACGCUGGCGGCGUGCUUAACACAUGCAAGUCGAACGGAAAGGCCCUGCUUUUGUGGGGUGCUCGAGUGGCGAACGGGUGAGUAACACGUGAGUAACCUGCCCUUGACUUUGGGAUAACUUCAGGAAACUGGGGCUAAUACCGGAUAGGAGCUCCUGCUGCAUGGUGGGGGUUGGAAAGUUUCGGCGGUUGGGGAUGGACUCGCGGCUUAUCAGCUUGUUGGUGGGGUAGUGGCUUACCAAGGCUUUGACGGGUAGCCGGCCUGAGAGGGUGACCGGCCACAUUGGGACUGAGAUACGGCCCAGACUCCUACGGGAGGCAGCAGUGGGGAAUAUUGCACAAUGGGCGGAAGCCUGAUGCAGCAACGCCGCGUGCGGGAUGACAGCCUUCGGGUUGUAAACCGCUUUCGCCUGUGACGAAGCGUGAGUGACGGUAAUGGGUAAAGAAGCACCGGCUAACUACGUGCCAGCAGCCGCGGUGAUACGUAGGGUGCGAGCGUUGUCCGGAUUUAUUGGGCGUAAAGGGCUCGUAGGUGGUUGAUCGCGUCGGAAGUGUAAUCUUGGGGCUUAACCCUGAGCGUGCUUUCGAUACGGGUUGACUUGAGGAAGGUAGGGGAGAAUGGAAUUCCUGGUGGAGCGGUGGAAUGCGCAGAUAUCAGGAGGAACACCAGUGGCGAAGGCGGUUCUCUGGGCCUUUCCUGACGCUGAGGAGCGAAAGCGUGGGGAGCGAACAGGCUUAGAUACCCUGGUAGUCCACGCUGUAAACGGUGGGUACUAGGUGUGGGGUCCAUUCCACGGGUUCCGUGCCGUAGCUAACGCUUUAAGUACCCCGCCUGGGGAGUACGGCCGCAAGGCUAAAACUCAAAGGAAUUGACGGGGCCCCGCACAAGCGGCGGAGCAUGCGGAUUAAUUCGAUGCAACGCGUAGAACCUUACCUGGGUUUGACAUGGAUCGGGAGUGCUCAGAGAUGGGUGUGCCUCUUUUGGGGUCGGUUCACAGGUGGUGCAUGGCUGUCGUCAGCUCGUGUCGUGAGAUGUUGGGUUAAGUCCCGCAACGAGCGCAACCCUUGUUCACUGUUGCCAGCACGUUAUGGUGGGGACUCAGUGGAGACCGCCGGGGUCAACUCGGAGGAAGGUGGGGAUGACGUCAAGUCAUCAUGCCCCUUAUGUCCAGGGCUUCACGCAUGCUACAAUGGCCGGUACAGAGAGUGGCGAGCCUGUGAGGGUGAGCGAAUCUCGGAAAGCCGGUCUCAGUUCGGAUUGGGGUCUGCAACUCGACCUCAUGAAGUCGGAGUCGCUAGUAAUCGCAGAUCAGCAACGCUGCGAUGAAUACGUUCCCGGGGCU